rnacentral:rRNA from 1 species
UUCGAUUAACGCGAAGAACCUUACCUCGACUUGACAUGCAUGUGGUACCAACCUGAAAGGGAAGGGACUCGCAAGAGAGCAUGCACAGAUGCUGCAUGGCUGUCGUCAGCUCGUGCCGUGAGGUGUUGGGUUAAGUCCCGCAACGAGCGCAACCCUUGUCCUUAGUUGCCUUCUCUAAGGAGACCGCCGGUCUAAACCGGAGGAAGGUGGGGAUGACGUCAAGUCAGCACGGCUCUUACGUCGAGGGCUACACACACGCUACAAUGGCCGGUACAACGGGCUGCUAAGGGGCGACCUGGAGCUAAUCCCACCAAAGCCGGUCUCAGUUCGGAUUGCAGGCUGCAACUCGCCUGCAUGAAGUCGGAGUUGCUAGUAACUGCUGGUCAGCACACAGCGGUGAAUACGUUCCCGGGCCUUGUCACACCGAAUCACUA